rnacentral:rRNA from 1 species
GACGAACGCUGGCGGCGUGCCUAAUACAUGCAAGUCGAGCGGACUUGAUGGAGUGCUUGCACUCCUGAUGGUUAGCGGCGGACGGGUGAGUAACACGUAGGUAACCUGCCCAUAAGACUGGGAUAACCCACGGAAACGUGAGCUAAUACCAGAUAGGCAUUUUCCUCGCAUGAGGGAAAUGAGAAAGGCGGAGCAAUCUGUCACUUAUGGAUGGACCUGCGGCGCAUUAGCUAGUUGGUGAGGUAACGGCUCACCAAGGCGACGAUGCGUAGCCGACCUGAGAGGGUGAUCGGCCACACUGGGACUGAGACACGGCCCAGACUCCUACGGGAGGCAGCAGUAGGGAAUCUUCCGCAAUGGACGAAAGUCUGACGGAGCAACGCCGCGUGAGUGAUGAAGGUUUUCGGAUCGUAAAGCUCUGUUGCCAGGGAAGAACGCCUAGGAGAGUAACUGCUCYUAGGGUGACGGUACCUGAGAAGAAAGCCCCGGCUAACUACGUGCCAGCAGCCGCGGUAAUACGUAGGGGGCGAGCGUUGUCCGGAAUUAUUGGGCGUAAAGCGCGCGCAGGCGGCAAUGUAAGUUGGGUGUUUAAACCUAGGGCUCAACCUUGGGUCGCAUCCAAAACUGCAUAGCUUGAGUACAGAAGAGGAAAGUGGAAUUCCACGUGUAGCGGUGAAAUGCGUAGAGAUGUGGAGGAACACCAGUGGCGAAGGCGACUUUCUGGGCUGUAACUGACGCUGA